AUUUAUUUAUUUAUUUAUAUUGAUAUAUUUUUUACUUUUGCUGAAGAUGUUUGAGCAGUCAGCAGUAGGGUCAUCACCGUGAGACAUGUUGCAGACUCAUAUGGUGUGGGCAGUAGUCUGGCGGUGACAUUUCCACGCUUCAUUAGCUGGUCUAGUCUGGAGCAGGCUGCAAAAUGCUGCAGUGGUUGAUGUCUUUCCUCUGUGUUCAUUUUCUUCUCAGAGUGGAGGCUUCUAUAGAGAAACGUGGUUCUUCAAACAGAUUAUAGAUCAGCCUUUUAAAGGCUUUUACUUGAUUUGGGGACCCACUGGGGGGGUGGGGGGGUAUUGUAGGAGGACAGACAUCUUGGCUGUAAAUCACAUCAAACGUACUGUAGAACCGGCACCUGUUUACUCUGUGCAUUUAGCUUGUUGGUGAAAUAAUGAAAUGAUUCAGAAGUAUAUACACUAGUAAUGUGUAAUAAAUAGUAGCUCAGCUACUUAUGUAACUACGUAUUAGUCAAAUACUGCUUGAACUUCACCUGACCAAUAAAAAUGACUUUGCUUUGCAUUAAAAUGUAAAGCUGUUAGUAUGUCUAUAAAUAAAAAUGUUAAAAAAUAAACACUCCGUACACAGUUGAAUAAGUGAGGAAAUAUUGCAGAAGAAAUAAAAAUAGAGAAUGCAGCUUAAUGUUUAGGCAGUGUUAACUACAAGCCCAAAUAUAGAUUAGCCCAGGAAACUAUCAUAUAGCAAGACUAUAUUUAUAUGAAUCUCAAAUGACAUCCUGUUGAGCAUGUGAUGCACUAAGUAGUUUCUACAUUGCCGUUAAGUUAUACCAUAUGCAGUAAACACACAUACUGAAUAAAAAUCUUGUCUUUUAA